AUCAUCAACAUCAACAUCAACAUCAUCAUCAUCAUCAAGUAGUUGAAGAGGUUUCAGUGCAAAGGGUGAAGAAGAAGGAGGUUAAUGCAAAGAUAUCAGCAUGGUAGAACAACAAGAUUGCAAAGAUUAACAACAGAUUCAAGAGAGAAGAUGCUGUCAUCAAAGGCUGGGAGAGUGAGCAGGUUCAGAAGGCUACUUCUUGGAUGAAGGAAGUUGAGGUUUUCAGCUUUUAUCAAUAUCCAAGAAUCAAAAUAAGUUCAUGACUCAUGACAAAUGCUCUUGCAACAUCUGUCAGCGAAAUAUUACAGACUUUCGAAUAUACUUACCAACCGGAAAAGAAUUUUGGACACAUAAGGAAAUGCCCUAUUCACUCCCUGCAAGAAAAUCAAGCAGAAAUUUGAAAGACUUUGAGCAAGUAAAAA